rnacentral:rRNA from 1 species
GGGGAAUAUUGCGCAAUGGGGGGAACCCUGACGCAGCAACGCCGCGUGAAGGAUGAAGGUCUUCGGAUUGUAAACUUCUUUGAUUGGGGACGAUAAUGACGGUACCCAAGGAACAAGCCACGGCUAACUACGUGCCAGCAGCCGCGGUAAUACGUAGGUGGCGAGCGUUGUCCGGAAUUACUGGGUGUAAAGGGCGUGUAGGCGGGGAUGCAAGUCAGAUGUGAAAUUCCGGGGCUCAACCCCGGCGCUGCAUCUGAAACUGUGUCUCUUGAGUGCUGGAGAGGAAAGCGGAAUUCCUAGUGUAGCGGUGAAAUGCGUAGAUAUUAGGAGGAACACCAGUGGCGAAGGCGGCUUUCUGGACAGUAACUGACGCUGAGGCGCGAAAGCGUGGGUAGCGAAC